CUUAAGUAUAGAGUUUAACUGUGUCAUUUUUAUUAGCAGGAUAUUCUAUCAGCAGAAAAGUUCAAAAAGCUGACUGAAUAACCCCUCUCACGUCAGUAAGGACGAAGUAAUACGGACAAUGUUCUCUCUGGUCACGUAUCCUUCAUGAAAUGUAAAUAAAUACUAGGAUGUGAAGCAUGUACUUCUGCAGAAUACAGCGUUGUCUGGAAAUAGACUCUUGCCAGGAUAUUGCUGUCUUCUGGAGAAACAACAUAUCUCAGCUUGCUGGAGCUACUACCAGGUCAUGCAACACCAGGCAAGUUCAAAUAUAAAAGCAAACUUAAGAAAGCAAAUUGAUUGUAUAGCAACAAAGAAUUAAGCUCUUGAUUAC
rnacentral:lncRNA from 1 species